CACCACUCAAGCCUGGCUUGGUCUUGGGCGGCGGGAGUCCCCCGCGCCCCCAAUUCAUCGGCUGGACGGUUCGAAUCUCAGCGUUGUGGUUUCAUCAAAUCGCUGGCGAGGACGACCGGACGCGCCGUCACAAAUUCAUCACA
rnacentral:misc_RNA from 1 species